rnacentral:rRNA from 1 species
GAACGCUGGCUACAGGCUUAACACAUGCAAGUCGACCUUCAGCAUGCCGGUUGCUUGCAACCGGUGAUGGCGACCGGCGCACGGGUGAGUAACGCGUAUCCAACCUUCCCGCGACCAAGGGAUAACCUGCCGAAAGGCAGACUAAUACCUUAUGUCCUCCUUUGAAGGCAUCUGACGAGGGGCAAAGAUCCGUCGGUCACGGAUGGGGAUGCGUCCGAUUAGCUUGUUGGCGGGGCAACGGCCCACCAAGGCUUCGAUCGGUAGGGGUUCUGAGAGGAAGGCCCCCCACACUGGAACUGAGACACGGUCCAGACUCCUACGGGAGGCAGCAGUGAGGAAUAUUGGUCAAUGGGCGGAAGCCUGAACCAGCCAAGUAGCGUGCAGGAUGACGGCCCUACGGGUUGUAAACUGCUUUUAUGCGGGGAUAAAGUUGCCCACGUGUGGGUUUUUGCAGGUACCGCAUGAAUAAGGACCGGCUAAUUCCGUGCCAGCAGCCGCGGUAAUACGGAAGGUCCGGGCGUUAUCCGGAUUUAUUGGGUUUAAAGGGAGCGCAGGCCGCCGUGCAAGCGUGCCGUGAAAAGCAGCGGCCCAACCGCUGCCCUGCGGCGCGAACUGCUUGGCUUGAGUGCGCCGGAAGCGGGCGGAAUUCGUGGUGUAGCGGUGAAAUGCUUAGAUAUCACGAAGAACCCCGAUUGCGAAGGCAGCCCGCUGUGGCGCCACUGACGCUGAGGCUCGAAGGUGCGGGUAUCGAACAGGAUUAGGAUACCCUGGUAGUCCGCACGGUAAACGAUGGAUACCCGCUGUCCGGCCCGUACGGUCUGGGCGGCCAAGCGAAAGCGUUAAGUAUCCCACCUGGGGAGUACGCCGGCAACGGUGAAACUCAAAGGAAUUGACGGGGGCCCGCACAAGCGGAGGAACAUGUGGUUUAAUUCGAUGAUACGCGAGGAACCUUACCCGGGCUUGAAUUGCAGGAGAAUGAUUCAGAGAUGAUGAAGUCCCUCGGGACUCCUGUGAAGGUGCUGCAUGGUUGUCGUCAGCUCGUGCCGUGAGGUGUCGGCUCAAGUGCCAUAACGAGCGCAACCCCUCUCCGCAGUUGCCAUCGGGUGAUGCCGGGCACUCUGCGGACACUGCCGCCGCAAGGUGCGAGGAAGGUGGGGAUGACGUCAAAUCAGCACGGCCCUUACGUCCGGGGCCACACACGUGUUACAAUGGCAGGUACAGAGGGCUGUCCGCAUGCAAGUGCGGGCGAAUCCCGAAAUCCGGUCCCAGUUCGGACUGGGGUCUGCAACCCGACCCCACGAAGCUGGAUUCGCUAGUAAUCGCGCAUCAGCCAUGGCGCGGUGAGUACGUUCCCGGGCCUUGUACACACCGCCCGUCAAGCCAUGAAAGCCGGGGGUGCCUGAAGUCCGUGACC